GUUGAGAGCUAGCUCUCUGCAACUGUCACAUGGCCGCCCACUGGAGUUAAGCAGGGAUGUGCCCAGUCAAUACCUGGAUAGGAGACCACAAGGGAAAGCUACAGGUUGCUGCCGGUA
rnacentral:rRNA from 1 species